rnacentral:rRNA from 1 species
GACGAACGCUGGCGGCGUGCUUAACACAUGCAAGUCGAACGGAAAGGCCCUGCUUUUGUGGGGUGCUCGAUUGGCGAACGGGUGAGUAACACGUGAGUAACCUGCCCUUGACUUUGGGAUAACUUCAGGAAACUGGGGCUAAUACCGGAUAGGAGCUCCUGCUGCAUGGUGGUGGUUGGAAAGUUUCGGCGGUUGGGGAUGGACUCGCGGCUUAUCAGCUUGUUGGUGGGGUAGUGGCUUACCAAGGCUUUGACGGGUAGCCGGCCUGAGAGGGUGACCGGCCACCUUGGGACUGAGAUACGGCCCAGACUCCUACGGGAGGCAGCAGUCGGGAAUAUUGCACAAUGGGGGGAAGCCUGAUGCAGCAACGCCGCGUGCGGGAUGACGGCCUUCGGGUUGUAAACCGAUUUCGCAUGUGACGAAGAGUGAGUGACGGUAAUGGGUAAAGAAGCAACGGCUAACUACGUG